rfam:Stegodyphus mimosarum contig95495, whole genome shotgun sequence.
UCUAAGGCUCUCCUCAGAGCUAUCAAAAUAAUAGAAUGCAUAUAUU